rnacentral:rRNA from 1 species
AUUUAAGUCAGAGGUGAAAGCCCGGGGCUCAACUCCGGAACUGCCUUUAAGACUGCAUCGCUUGAAUCUGGGAGAGGUGAGUGGAAUUCCGAGUGUAGAGGUGAAAUUCGUAGAUAUUCGGAAGAACACCAGUGGCGAAGGCGGCUCACUGGACUGGUAUUGACGCUGAGGUGCGAAAGCGUGGGGAGCAAACA